CUCUCUCUCUCUCUCUCCUUUCUUUUCUCGGCUUAACCCUAGCGUCGUAGGAAAAAAUCGAAAUAUCUUACAAAAUUCGAAUUUGUUUUCAUAUUGUAAGUGCUGAAAAUACUUAGGGUUUGUUCUAAAUUUGAACCCUUACCAUUUUCAGUAAGUUAAAAUUUUAAAUAUUAUUUUGGUUGUUAUUGUGUGGCUCGUGUUCUGGGUUGAGUAUUUUGAGGUUUGAAGCAUCCAAGUCUCAUCUCUUUCAGGCUGCACAUCUACAAGGUAAUACUCUUCUUAUUUGUUUAAUUUCAAUUCUGUCUCAGUUAAUUAUUUAUUAGCUUAAUAUUUGCUUCCUAAUAUGAUUUGAGUAUGUCAUUAGGGGUUAGUUUAAGAUUUGAUAUAUAAGGUAAAUCAGGUCUUGUUCUAUAAAGUAUUAGCUAAGGGUAACGGAUUUAGCUAAAUAGGCUUAGACAGUUCACUUAUUUAUUUAAGUAAGCUAGGUGUAAUGUCUGAAUGAAUAAAAGGAUAUGAGUUUCUUAAUCAGAUUAAGUCCAUUUGGUUAGUUUAGGUGUGAUUGAAAUUCAAAAACUUCUGUACCACCUAACAUAAGAGUGAAUGGUUAGUUUUAAGUUAAGAAUAAGAUUGGAUCUUAAAAGGGAUAUUGUGUGAAGAUGUUGGCACAUUUGAAUUUGACUUGUAAACCUGUUAAGCUAGGUGUAACUUUGAGUGAACUAUUUCAAGAAAGAUGAAGUGUGAUUAAGUUGUUGCUUAUAAUUUUGGUCUGUUUGUUGACGAUGAUUGUUUACUUUAUGGAUUCACAGAUGUCAUUUAUUUCAUUAGGGAAAAACUGAUUUUUUUUUUGGUGUACCUGAAUAACCUUACAAUUUGAACUAGACUCUGUGAAUUUUGUUUCCUUUUUGGAGGAAGAGGUCUUUCCAGUCAGCUGAUAAGUUGUUAUUGUUUGCAAUAUAGGUAAAAUGAAGUUAGAAUUUUCUGUUUACCUUGUCUGAAUGAAAUACCGAAGUCCAGAGUUAAAAAAAAAGAAAGAAAUAAUCUACUCAUGAUUUCUUUUCCUACUUGGUAUUGAGUCUCUAAAUGGGAUCUUAUCUAGGUGUGUGAGUUUGUUGCUUCAAUAUGUGCAAGUGUGUAUGAAAUUUACAAUGAUUAGUUUGAGUUGUUGCUUUGAAACAGGAUGAACUUCAUUUCAAAAUAAUUUUGUUUUAAAAAAUCUGGAUAUUUGACUUAAUAUCACAAUGUUAUACUGUCAAUGUUCUAACUUUGAUAACUUGAUGUUAUACACUUAGUUUUCUGGAAAUGGGAUUGAUUUUAUUUGUUGAUCCAACCUAAAAAAUCAACUAAGAAGCUUUUUGAGUCAGGGCUGUGGAAUUGAGUUUGUUUCAAAACCUUUUUUUUAAGCUGAAUUUAACAUAACAUGUCUUUGUGAACUGUGUUUAAGCUUUAUGAUAGCAAAGAUAGUCCCUUAUGUUCUGUGAACCUGUAAAGUAUUCACCUGCUCUGUUUUGGCAUAAACAAUCUUCAUAUGAUACAGUUGUCUAAACUUCACUUGACUUUAAGCUUGGAAAUCUGUCCAGUGUGUUUUGACACAUCGUGUAAUGAAGACCUGGGUGGAUUUUAAAAACUAAAAGAAGGCUAAGGCUUUAAUACAAGAGUAGUUUGUUUAAUUACUUGUCUGUGCUUGGUGAAUAAGCCUAAAAUUGAAUUGGUAUCCUGUUGAGGCAUGACUAUGCCAAUGCUGGAAGUUCUGGGACUCAUCGGUGCCUGCCUAUCUUUAAAUUUUAAACUUGAUGGGACCUUAACUUGACCAAAUGCAUAGAUGGCUGGAUUAGGAAAUUGUUUUGAAUCACUUAUCGUUUAUGUGUGUCUCAUGGAACAUUGAAUGUUGACUGUUUAUUUGCCACUGAUGUACAUGAUUGUAGAUGACUGCUUGUUGACUGUUUUGCUAUUUCUGUGCUUGUAUUUAAUUUAAAUAAGACAAAGACCUUGAUAUAUGCAUAUAUACCUCUAUUUUACUCUUAAUAUACAUGGGUAGGGAGACUUAGUUAGCCAUUAAGGAUUAAGCUUAAGUCCUCCCCAGUGUUUGCCAUGUCUAGGGUUCAUGAAACCCCCUUGAAUCUUGUGCGACAUCGGGAAUAUGAGGGUAAAAGCUUUCUUUCAUUGGCUACUCUAUAUCCCUAUAAGUGUAUAAAUAGGUGUAUAUGGGCAGUAUAUACAAGUAUAUCCAUAUGACUUUGACUUAUUUAAAAUAACUUGGGUCUAUCUUUUAAGGUUUUAAUCCAUAGCCUCAAUUUGAUUUAGUUAUGCAGCCUAUAUUUAGCCUACUUUAUUUAUACUUUGAUGUACUUGUCUAAAAUUGGAUAUUAAUUUUGUACUCCUUGUGUUAUGUGUGCAAAACACUGGGCCGAGGCCCAGUUCCAAGUUCAGGUCGAGUCCUAUUGGAAGUUGAAAGGGAAGCAAAUAUUGUGUUGAAGGCACAUCUAUGGGUCCUGAAAACUACACAUUGUGGAGUAGAUCAAUGAAGUUAGCAUUGAGAGGAAAAUGUAAACUCGGAUUCAUAAAUGGCACUUGUAUGAAGAGCAAGUACAAGGGAGAUUUGGAUGAACUAUGGGAGAAAAGUGAUGCAAUUGUGCUAUCAUGGAUAGAAAGUACAGUUUCGAGUGAAUUGAUACCUAGUAUCAUGUAUGCUGCUAGUGCUAAGAAAAUUUGGGAAGAGUUUAAGGAGAGAUUUGAUAGGUCAAAUCUUAUAUGGAUCUAUCAUUUGUGCUCAAAUUUUCAAUUUGAAGCAAGGUAAUGAUUUAGUUACUAGCUACUUACUAAGAUGAAGGUUUUAUGGGAUGAAUUAGAUGUGAUGGUUCCACUAUCAUCUUGCUGUGUUGAGUCUACACAAUACACCGAUCACCUUAAGUCACAAAGGUUGAUCCAGUUUUUAAUGGGACUGAAUAAGAGCUACGGUAGCAUAAGAAGUAACUUGCUUGCAAAAGGUUCUAGUGUGACAGUAAAUGAAGCAUAUGCAGUAACUGCACAAUAGGAGAGUCAAAGGUCUAUGGGAGUAGUUGAUGUGCAUAGAGAACCAUUGACUAUGUUGGCAGACAACACACAAGUAUACAGAGACAAAACACCAGUUCAAGGACCAGCUUGUGGGGAGUGUGGUUACAAGGGUCAUAGAACUAAGGAUUGUUACAAGCUAGUUGGAUACCCUGCUGACUUCAAAAGCAAAAAGAAGACUAGACAAAGUUCUUCUCAGAUGAAGCCGUUGCCAACUCAACUACAGCUGGAGAUAUUGGAGAAUCAAUUAGAUCACAUCACAAAGGUGGAGGACUGUUUACACCACAACAAUACCAGGAAGUGUUGAACAAACUAGAUGAGUCUGGUCCUACAAACUAUGUUGCUAAUAUGGCAGGGCCUCUUCAAUUGCAAGGUGAUGGGGAUUGGUAGAGAAAGAGAUGGAUUGUACAUUUUGCAGGAUUCCGAUCCAAUAAAAGUUCCAACAACAAGUAAUUCUCUAGUUACAAGUAGUCCACCUUUGGCACAUGAGAUUGGGUCAUGCUUCUGUAGGAGCCAUGAAUCACAUUUCAUCCCUCAAGUUCAAAGUAGAUGAUAGGGUUCAAUAGUUUUGUGAAGUUUGUCCUCUAGCAAAACAUCAUAGGUUGAAGUUUCCUGUUAGCAGUAGUAAGACAGAUGUUUGUUUCCAACUGAUUCAUCUAGAUCUUUGGGAACCUUAUAAGAAUUCUACCUAUGAUAGAAAACAACUGUUUGUUACUAUAGUAGAUGAUUUUAGUAGAUAUACUUGGAUAUGUAUGAUACAAUCUAAAUGUGAAGUGUUUGCUGUACUGCAAGAUUUCUUGUGCUUAAUAAAGAAUCAAUUUGAUAGUACUGUUAAAGUGUUGAGAUCUAAUAAUGGUUCAGAAUUCUUCAAAUCUAAAUGCACUAAUCUGUUGGCUUCACAUGGUAUUAUUCAUUAAAGUAAUUGUCCUUACAUACCAAAACAAAAUGGCACUGUGGAAAGGAAGCAUAAACACAUACUUGAAGUUGCUAGAGCUUUGAGAUUUUAAAGUGCAAUACCUAUUUGUUUUUUAAGGAGAUUGUGUGAGGACUUCCAUAUAUUUAAUCAACAAGUUGCCUUCACAUGUUCUAGGUGGUAAAAGUCCUUAUGAGCUGUUGUUUGGUAAAGUACCAAAGCUAAAUCAUUUGAGAGUUUUUGGCUGUCUUUGUUAUGCAAGGCAACUACCUAGAGGUGAUAAGUUUACAGCAAUGGCAAGGAAAGUUGUUCUAGUUGGGUACUCAGAAACUCAGAAAGGUUAUAGACUUUAUGAUCUGGUGUCAAAGAUGUUAUUUAUUAGUAGUGAUGUGACAUUUAGAGAUUCAGUUUUUCCUUUCAAACAUGAUGUUGACAAUUUACAGGUUGAGGACAUGUUUUUGCAUUCAGUUCCUGAUGGUUCAAAGGAGCCUGAUAUUACAUCUGAUCCACAAAUGGAUAUGCAGUAUGAAAAUCAUGGUGAUGAGUCCAUUCUCACCAUUCAAUCCACUGAUGCCUCACCCACAAAGGAUAAUACUACACCAGGUCAAUAAGGAGAUGCAGAUACUGAAUUCACCAAUGAAGAAUCACCAAAUAUUAUUGCUCCAGUUGCAGAUGAGACUGAGACAAUAGAUGACAUUCCUACAGAUGAAGCAGUGACUCAUGAUGUUAGCAUACAGAUUCCUUUACUUCAGCAUCAUGCAGCAGUAGAUGAGCAAAUGCCAAUUGUACCAGAUGAACAGCACCAGGCCAGGCCUGCCAGAAAUGCCAAACCUCUUAUUUAGCAUAGUCACUAUGUCAUGACACACAAGCCUGGAGGACGGUGCUCAUAUCUUUUAUCCAAACAUAUCAUAUACGCACAUUUUCCUUUUGCCUAUCAAUAUUAUCUAAAGUGUUUUUCAGCAGUUGUUGAACCUAAGAGCUUCAAAGAUGCUUCUAAUGAUCCAUUAUGGAUAGAAGUAGUGUAAAAGGAAGUUGAUGCCCUGGAGGGAAACAACACAUGACCACAUGGUAAGUAGGCAAUUGGAUCAAACUAGGUGUACAAGAUCAAGUUCAAAGGCAAAUGGUGAGGUGGACAAGUA